AUAAAAGUGUCAGAAGUUUAUGAGUUAAUUUUAAGCGUUAAUUAUGGGUUAAAACCCCUUUUAUU
rnacentral:tRNA from 1 species